GGAAGUACUUACUAGACUGAGUAGUAAGUGACACAUGUGUAAAGUCCUAAUAUAGGCCACUGUUUAGUGUAAAGCUUCGGUAUUCAUCUAGAAGUCCUUGUUAUUUGGAUAGCAGGUUGACGCGUAUGUAGUAAUAAUUUAAAUCUUGUACAAGUAAGGGGAAGAAAAAGACAUCUUUAAACAAUGUGGUAAAUACAGGGACUGCAGCCCUCCCGUUGUAAUUUAGAAAAUGGUGAAAUCCUUGGCCUAUGAGAUCAAAAAUAAUUUGAAAAUAGAUGACUGUCACCAAGAGAUAAUUCAAAAAUAUGCCAUUGUUCCAGAAGAAGAUUUUUUGAGUUUUUUUGAUAUACAGAAAAUAUGGGAAGAAUUUCAAAGAAUGCCUGAUGAAUUACAAAAAACACAGUGGUCAAUGAUUGUGUUAUCAGAAAUUGAAAAAUGGAAUGAUAAAUUCCUCAAAAAUGUGUUCCGGCGUCGGCUGAACAAAUGGCUGAACUGGAUAAGUUGGAAAAAGGAACUGGAAACAUUGAAAGCAGGAACAACAUCUAAAGACACUCAAAGCCCAUUGAAAAAGAAAUCAUGAUCAUGUCACUAUUGUGGAAUCAUUGGACAUUGGCAGGAUGAGUGUCGCAAGAAAAAGAAGAACCAAAGGAAAAGGACAGGAUGCACAGACAGUUGGAACAUGAGACAUUCUACCCACAUUCCGAUCAGCAGCAAGGAAAGAUCUCCCAUGUAUGGAAUUCAGGAAUCAAAGACAGAGGAUUUCCUGGUGAUACCGGGAACUGACGUGAGCUUAUAAUCAUUGAUUAAGAGUUUUAAAUAUGUUUACAAAAAUUUAUCGAACCUAAAUAUUGAGUAGAGCUGGAACUUAUCAAGGAAAUCUGAUCACUUCCCUUGAUAAUGACCAUGCUUAUUCAAGUGAAUAUUAAUUUGAAGGCACUUUGAUGGUGUAUAGCAUGUUUUAAUAAGCAUUGGAAAUAGCCUGUUUUGUUCUGUCAUGCUUGAACAUGUUUUAAUAGGUAUUCAAGGAAUAGCCUGUUUUGUUGUGCUUUGUCAUGUUCACUAUGUACAUUUAAAUCAAACGUAUUUAUUGCAUUGAUGAUAAUGUUUAAAACCGUAAGGCCUCAAGGAGUGUCACACUACAGGCUUUAACACGUGGGUACAUCUAACCCUAGUGAUAAAUUAGAAAUUGGUACAAUGAUGAUUUUGUAAUCUGGUAGAAUAGUCUCAUGGUUUUCUUACAAAAGGUUAAAAUAUUGUGUGUUCUCUCUCCUUAAUAUUAUAUCAGUGAUAGAAUGAAGAAUCCACAUGGUGAUAAUCUUUAAUGUUAAGAAGACACGCUGUGUCCCAUGAGGAUUAGAUAUGAAUCCAAAACAGCCAUAAGCCUUUACAGAGGGUUUCCCCCAAGUUGGAAUGUGUGUGUGUUCUCUGCCUUGUCACAGGACAACUGGUGAGAGGGAAACAAUACACAUAGGGUAAUAUUUUUUUGAAGUAGACACAUGGCUUUCCAUGUGCACUGAAUUUGAUUCUAAUGUAUGUUAUACAUUGGUUUUAGACAAAAGAUUGAGAUUAAAGUCUAAAAUUAUGACAAAAAGGGUGAAAACUGCCAAAAGCGAGUUUAUCCCCUACAAUAACAUUUUAUAUUUUAUUUUGAAUGUUGAAUUGGCUUUGGUUAAUUAGGAACAUUUGAAUUUGUUAGUUUUUUGUGUUUCUCUUACAACUAAGAUGACAUUUGUGUUUAUAGAGCAAGUUAGAUACUAAAAAGUUGACUGACUAAAAUGGUCCCUUGGUUCAGAGAGCAGCACAGGGGGGAGGAGUGCUUGAGCCAACACCCCCACACACCCCCACACCCUGGGAUAGCGAGAGUAACACAGGCUUACUUGGGUGGUCAUGUCUGUUUUUGGUUUAGUCAUAAUUUUCACCAAUGUUUUGGAAUAUCCACCAGAUUGUUAAGUUAUUGUAUAGAUAUGACAAGCAUAUUUUUACUAACUGCGAACAAAACAGUAAAUCUGAACCUUCACUUAACAAAGGAUAUCGGCUAAUUUGAAAGAAUAACAUAUGUUGCUACAGACAGUCUGAGGACCAUGUAUGGAUUUUUUAUAUGUGGAAACCUAAAUUUCAUAUACAUUUUAAAUAAUCCAUUUGGCCUUUAUUUAUGGCUUGCCAUGAGUGGGUGAAGCCAAGGGCUCCAGGAAGGGGGGCAGACCCCUAGGACGACCCCAAACAACCUCUCCCAUUAAAUCAGGGUAGCCUAUUUCUAAGGGUUAAAGUUGAGUGUUCAGACUGGUCUCAACUGUGGUAAUUUCCUCAACGUAAGCAAAUUCAGUUUUGGGAUGAUCAAACAUUGAGUAGAGGUUAGAG
ensembl:lncRNA